CAAUGUGUAGCUAACAGAUAGCAUCUCCCUUACACUGAGAAGUCCCUUGUGUAACUCAGGGCAUAUUGA
rnacentral:tRNA from 1 species